rnacentral:rRNA from 1 species
GAUGAACGCUAGCUACAGGCUUAACACAUGCAAGUCGAGGGGAAACGGCAUUGAGUGCUUGCACUCUUUGGACGUCGACCGGCGCACGGGUGAGUAACGCGUAUCCAACCUUCCCAUUACUGUGGGAUAACCUGCCGAAAGGCAGACUAAUACCGCAUAGUCUUCGAUGACGGCAUCAGAUUUGAAGUAAAGAUUUAUCGGUAAUGGAUGGGGAUGCGUCUGAUUAGCUUGUUGGCGGGGUAGCGGCCCACCAAGGCGACGAUCAGUAGGGGUUCUGAGAGGAAGGUCCCCCACAUUGGAACUGAGACACGGUCCAAACUCCUACGGGAGGCAGCAGUGAGGAAUAUUGGUCAAUGGACGGAAGUCUGAACCAGCCAAGUAGCGUGCAGGAUGACGGCCCUAUGGGUUGUAAACUGCUUUUGUAUGGGGAUAAAGUUAGGGACGUGUCCCUAUUUGCAGGUACCAUACGAAUAAGGACCGGCUAAUUCCGUGCCAGCAGCCGCGGUAAUACGGAAGGUCCAGGCGUUAUCCGGAUUUAUUGGGUUUAAAGGGAGCGUAGGCUGGAGAUUAAGUGUGUUGUGAAAUGUAGACGCUCAACGUCUGAAUUGCAGCGCAUACUGGUUUCCUUGAGUACGCACAACGUUGGCGGAAUUCGUCGUGUAGCGGUGAAAUGCUUAGAUAUGACGAAGAACUCCGAUUGCGAAGGCAGCUGACGGGAGCGCAACUGACGCUUAAGCUCGAAGGUGCGGGUAUCAAACAGG